GAUGAACGCUGGCGGCGUGCCUAAUACAUGCAAGUCGAGCGAACGGACGAGAAGCUUGCUUCUCUGAUGUUAGCGGCGGACGGGUGAGUAACACGUGGAUAACCUACCUAUAAGACUGGGAUAACUUCGGGAAACCGGAGCUAAUACCGGAUGAUAUUUUGAACCGCAUGGUUCAAAAGUGAAAGACGGUCUUGCUGUCACUUAUAGAUGGAUCCGCGCUGCAUUAGCUAGUUGGUAAGGUAACGGCUUACCAAGGCAACGAUGCAUAGCCGACCUGAGAGGGUGAUCGGCCACACGGGAACUGAGACACGGUCCAGACUCCUACGGGAGGCAGCAGUAGGGAAUCUUCCGCAAUGGGCGGAAGCGUGACGGAGCAACGCCGCGUGAGUGAUGAAGGUCUUCGGAUCGUAAAACUCGGUUAUUAGGGAAGAACAUAUGUGUAAGUAACUGUGCACAUCUUGACGGUACCUAAUCAGAAAGCCACGGCUAACUCCGUG
rnacentral:rRNA from 1 species